AAAUAUUCGUAGAGACUUGCCAUUUGGACAGAGAACUUUUGUUUGCUUUUUCUAGGCGCGGUAAAAUUUUUAAAACAUUUGAGUCAUUUUUAGGCUGUUUAUAGAAGUUAGAAUUAUUAGAAAAAAAAAAAACAAAACAAAACAUAACAUUAUCAAUUGUUUAUCUCCUUUAAGCUAAGCUAGUGUUGGAGAUAGAGAGUCACAGAUUUUAAAUAUAAAGAUUAUAAAUUAUAUAACCAAUAAACAAAUGUUAGACAAUUUGAUAAUUUAAUUUUUACAUAAAAACUCACGGGGGCAGAUCUAUCCACAAAUCCGCUGUUCGUAAAUACGCGCUAUACGUAUUGGUCCGUUAUUUUCCGAGAAAAAUGUCUAUAAUAAUAUUAUCGCGCGCGAAACGAGUUUGAAACCCAUUUACUACUCAAUACAAUGGGAUAAUAUGCAAUCAAGUAGCGGGG